UGAGAAUGUCAAGAUCUAGCCUGGGAUUGGGAGUGUGGCUCGGAGGGGAGUGCUCACCGAGCCUGCACACCGCCUAGGGCCCAGCCCUUAAAAGACACAAGCAAGAGGACAGUGGGAAGUAAGUUGAAAGCCAGCCUGGCCUAUCUAGGGAGACUGAAAGUAGACAAAUAGCUCAGACUCCACCUCCUGGAUCUGAAGGCAAUGCGUUGGAAUGUUCUGGGCUGGAGGGGAGGGGGGCACCAGGUUGAUGGUGGGAGUGGAAUCUGAAAAACAGAAUGGUUGACUUCUGUGCCCUUGGAGGUAUCCCAUGCCAGUUAUCCAAAGGGGCAGGGUCUCUGUGCUGAACUCAUUCUCUGAUGGCCCCUUGUGUGAGUUCAGUGUGGAGAGGAGACUGGAUGUGGGAGUGGGCAGGGCCCUGGGAACCUCCUAGGAAUCUCUAGGCCUUCUGGAGAAGUAGGCCGGAUUUGGCCUGCCAAUGCAGUAGCCUCAAACUAGGGCAGAAUCAGGGAAUCUGGGCCGAGGACCUGGCUGGUCCCUGGGGGUUAGCACCACGUGCUCUGGCAUCUUCCCUCCAACUGUCCCUGGGGGCAGAGUUGGGCAGGCCAGAGGUCCACCACUGCCAGUCUGUCCUGAGCCUCGCAGGAUACAGCCCUUUACUGGAGUCUGGCUAAAGAGCAAAGAGCUGGGGUUGCCCUGGUGGCAGGAUUCAGUCAACCUCUACACCACCCUCUGGCUUCUGCUCAGGACCUCAGACGUGUCUUUCAUUCAGAGCCUAGGAGAGAGGCCCAGAGCACGGGAGCUGUGGCAGAGUCUGUGCUGGUCAGGGUCCGACCCGCUGAGCAGAAUGUGGGUUGACCAGCUUGGAGAAACUGAGGGUGAGUUCCUACAUCUGAGGUCCAUGCUACCCAGCUGCCUCUCCUCUCCGGUCUCAGCAAGCCCUGUACCCACUUCUCCACCUUUGACACAGGGCUCUGUCCCCAACUCCUGCUACCACACCCUUCUCCCCAUGAUUCCCUGAGCUCAGAAGUUUUGGUGAGGGCAGUCAUGGAAGGGCCUAUGGCACCCUUACCUGUCACUCCCAGCCCCGUAUCCUUCCCUGUCUGAGGCUACCUGUCUCGUGCAGAGGUGUCGGUGACUUCUCAACCCCGACCCAGUACUAACUACUCGGUCAGAAGACCUGGGGUGGGGAGAGCACUCUGACGGACUUGAGUCCAAGAGCGGUUAGCAGAGGGGUCCCAAACCACCAGUGCAGGAGAAGCCCUGAGGCCAGCAUUGCGUUCAGUACAGAGAGGUACUCCAGCUUCAUGAGAGAUCAGAUAAAUGGGUGGAGGUGAGCUCCCUAGCACUGGGCAUGUCCAAGUGCUGGCUGGAGGUUGCACUGAGUUGGCUUUAGGGUCCCUUGUGGCUCCAUGAUGCAGGAACUGUGGGCUCCUGCCUUAGAGGAUCAAAUAAUGUCUUGAUUCUGUUUUGUUCUCUCCCAGGAGAGCUUCUACCUUCACAUGAACACCUGCAAAUCUUCCAGAAGCUAAAGGAUGAGUGAGAGUAACAGGUGGAGGUUGUGCAUGUGUGUGCAUGUGUGCACGGGUGUGAGUGUGCUCGUGUGCGGGUGUGAACCACCUCUACAAUUUUGAGAAAGACCUUCCCAGAUCCCUGAGUGCAUAUUCAUUGGAAGGCCAUGGUGCCAGACUCAGGCUAGGCUCAGCAGCUGCUUGUUCUGCCAGGACAGCCAGGGAAGUGACGCCACGUGCACAUGAGCUUUUGCUGCAGGAAGUGUGGGUCACUGGGGCCAUGGUUUGCGUGUGAUCGCUGACCAGCCAGUCACAGGUAGCCUGUGUGUGUUCUUAGGAGGGUAACAAUGCUGGAUCUUGAAUCCUUGCUGUGUCAAAUCUAGGGAGGACAUCUGAAAUGAUGGGCCUAGAAACAACAAGGAUUGGCCCGGGAGCAAGACAGUGGAGAUGGGAGGCAGAGUUAGCUAGGGGCCAAAGGAAGCUUUUCUACAGGCCCCUGUCAGGACUGGUGAGGGAGGAGGCUAGCACAGGGGGUUGUGCUGAGUAAGGGCUAUGUGUGUGCAUACCUGUGUUUACAUAUGUGUGUGCAUGUAUGUGGUUAUAUAUGAUUUGUAGUAUAGAUACACAUAUAUGGAUGUGCACGUGUAUGUGUAUAGGUGUGUGCUGUGGUUGUGCAUGGGUGUCCAUGGAUGUGUUCAUGUGUGGGCAUGUGUGACACCAGUGCCAUUGUGUGAAUAAAGAGGUGUGCAUAUGUGUGUAUGCCUAUCAUGUGUGCAUGUGUGGUUGAGUGCAUGAGUGUGCAUACAUGUAUGCAAAUGCAUGUAGUUAUAUGUGGUGGUGUGAGAGCAUGUGUAUACAUGCAUGUGGAUGUGUGGUGUGUACAUUUGUAGCUGUGUGAGUGUACAGUGUGCUUGUGUGCAGCACUCGGCUGAAGUUGCCUUACCUACCUGUUCUGCUGUCAUAGCAAGAGAUGCCUGCUGCCUACCACCAGGGCUGGGGGCAGAGGAGCCUUUAUUUCCCAGACCUUCCACGGUGAUUAAGUCUCCAAACUUUUCCUUAACCAUCAUAUCUUCAAAAUGAAAAACCAAAUUGCAUCUCCGAGAGCUUGGAAAUCGAUUUCUUUCAAAAUGAACUUUGGGCGAAACGAUUCCAAAGAGAAAUGAGAGAAGGAAGGCAUGUAAAAAGAGCUUUGUCUGGAUUCUCCACCUCACCCAAGGCUGCAUCUGAGAACCAGAACUCAUUGGCAUUACCCAGGAUAAUCAGACACGGUCCUAGAACCCCAAGACACCUACUGGGUAGUAUAUAAGGAGAGACCAAGAGCAACGCUCUGCCCAUCUGGAGAGAUGAGACCUUCCUUGAUCAGCCCUGGGGCUGGAGAGUCUCCCUCAGGAUCCUGGCCCUUGCAUCAAAGACUUCUGCUAGAGACUGGGCCUGGCCUUCAGCUAUGAUACAUCCCAGGAAUGUGUGUCUGUCCACUCACAAGCAGGUCCUGCCAUAGGCUAGUGACACCUCUGCAGAUCCAUUCCUUCAGUGGGAACAGACUGGAGACCAGGAACAGCACCAGACAGGGAUGCCAAGCUGCAAGGGAGAUCAGUUCGCCUAGCUGUCCCUUUGGGAGUCCACACACAGCCCAGAGUGCUGAGUGACAGGCUGAGUGAGUAGUCGCUGGUAAUACCCAGGGAUCUCUGAAGAGCAGGUCACCUCUUGGAGACAGCCAUCAAGGGGGCUGCCUUAGGAAGCUGCAGAUGAGGGAUGUGGUCAGAGCCACAUGCUGUGCUUUGGGAUCUGAACAGAGCCACCACUCUGCGCUUUGGGACAUGGACAGAGCCACCAUGCCAUGCUUUGGGAUGAUGACGGGGCCAUCACAUUGUGCUGCUGGAAGUCCCUUCCCCACAAAAGGAGCAGCAUAGGGACAGCAUCGUAACAGGAAUCGGAAGCCACUGGAUGAGGCUGAGGGACCUAAAUGCACAGGCUCGGGAGAGUUAAGAGACAAGCAGGGGACUGGCUGAGACCCUGGGAGAGAACAGCAGCCUUUCUGCAGGGGGCAGAAAGGCUGUUCCCUGAGGCCAUGGGACCUCAGGGAACAGUUGGUGGGAGCUGCCGUAGACUCGGUCAGAGCCUCAUCUGGGGCAAACACAUGGGAGAGUCCCAGCUUCCCUCAAGAGCCUGUUCCAGGGCCUCCUGCUUGUCUAUCCCACCAACCCCACAAGAAACCGGUCAACAUGGAGCCUGAAGAAACUGUGCUUCCUGGGGCCAGACAUCCUCGGCUUCUGGGUAGACCAGGCCUGCCAGUCUCAAGCUGCUGGAACAGCACCAGGGCUGUUCUCUGCUGUGUGCUACCCACUCCAUGGAUGGCCCCUGCAGCCUGAGGUCUGACCACCUACUCUCCAGGGGUCUCUCUGGCCUCCAGGUCCCAAAUGGGAGUUGAACUGGGGUUGCAGAUUACAUAGUCUCUUCCAGAGCUUGGCACUCAGCCCCAGCUGGGACAGGAGAGCAAGGAUGGGUGAGGCUGGACCUUCAGGAACCAUCUAAGCCCCAGAAGCCGAGAAAGCAGCAGGCAGGUCCCAAGAGCUGUUGUGGGUACAGAAUCUUGUAGCUGGAAUUGUGCAUACUAUGAGGAUGUGUCCACCAGGGCUGGGUAACUAGCCGGAGUAUCAACCUAAGCCCGUGACUUGAAACUUAAGGCUUUGAGAGAUUAAAAGAAAUAGUGUGUGUGUGUAAGAGAGAGAGACAGAGACAGAGACAGACAGAGAGAGAGAGAGAGAGAGAGGGAGAGAGAGAGAGAGAGGCUGUCCAUAGAGGUUAUGGGUGCUGGGAAUUGAACUCAGGUCCUCCGGGAGAGCAGUACUCACUCCUAACUGGUGGCCGUCUCUCUAGCCUCCAAGGGAUGUUUUUUUGUUUGUUUUUGUUUUGUUUGUUUGUUUUUUGAGAUUGAGGCCAGACCCAUAAGCACUGGAGAACUUGCAACAGGCCAUUCACAAUCUUUGUCAGAGACGAGGUGUCCUGGAGGCUCUUCGGUCGCAGUCAGCCACACCUUUUGGGAAGGCUUUCCGGGGUCCAUGAAGCGCCCCCAUGCUUACCUUGGAAUUUCCUUUCUAGAUCUCUGAGAUGCUUAAGGCAGGGAUUUGCCUGCCCUACCCUGUUCUGCCACUCUCAGGCUGCUGGCAGGCAGGCGCUGGGCACUGAUGAUGUUUCAGACAGAAGCAGCAAGGGAGAGCAGGAGGGAGGGGCCACAUCCAGAGGGAGGGGACACUAAGAUUAGAGAGGGAGAAGCCUAUGACUGUCCGAGGGCCCCUUGAUCAUUCUUGUGAUGUUGGGACUGAUUGUGUGUAUACUAGGGAGCCUGCUGAAUCAUGGACAGGGUUUUGAGGUCCUCUGGGGACUGUCUCUGCAGACCCCUGAAGGUAGACUGAGAAUCCCCUUUCAAGUCCUGCAGCCUGUGUCCCUGCCCCUGGCUCUGUACUACUCUGCUCCCAGUCAUGGAUCCUGUCACCCUUCAAGGAAGUGGCAGAUGCUGCACCCCAGGGUGGGAUACAGGAAGCAGGAAGAGGUGUGGUGGGGGGAUGAGAGACAAUGUGGUGAGGGGCUUAUGCACUGUAUCUGUCUCUUUCGCAGGACGCCUUUACCUGGCUCCUUCCUCCUAGCCUCCUGUUCCUGGUGUUAUUUUUAAAGUUUCACUUUGUAAA